rnacentral:rRNA from 1 species
CUGCUCAGGACGAACGCUGGCGGCGUGCUUAACACAUGCAAGUCGAACGAUGAUGCCCAGCUUGCUGGGUGGAUUAGUGGCGAACGGGUGAGUAACACGUGAGUAACCUGCCCCUGACUCUGGGAUAAGCGUUGGAAACGACGUCUAAUACUGGAUAUGACUGCCGGCCGCAUGGUCUGGUGGUGGAAAGAUUUUUUGGUUGGGGAUGGACUCGCGGCCUAUCAGCUUGUUGGUGAGGUAAUGGCUCACCAAGGCGACGACGGGUAGCCGGCCUGAGAGGGUGACCGGCCACACUGGGACUGAGACACGGCCCAGACUCCUACGGGAGGCAGCAGUGGGGAAUAUUGCACAAUGGGCGAAAGCCUGAUGCAGCAACGCCGCGUGAGGGAUGACGGCCUUCGGGUUGUAAACCUCUUUUAGUAGGGAAGAAGCGUAAGUGACGGUACCUGCAGAAAAAGCACCGGCUAACUACGUGCCAGCAGCCGCGGUAAUACGUAGGGUGCAGAGCGUUGUCCGGAAUUAUUGGGCGUAAAGAGCUCGUAGGCGGUUUGUCGCGUCUGCUGUGAAAUCCCGAGGCUCAACCUCGGGCUUGCAGUGGGUACGGGCAGACUAGAGUGCGGUAGGGGAGAUUGGAAUUCCUGGUGUAGCGGUGGAAUGCGCAGAUAUCAGGAGGAACACCGAUGGCGAAGGCAGAUCUCUGGGCCGUAACUGACGCUGAGGAGCGAAAAGCGUGGGGAGCGAACAGGAUUAGAUACCCUGGUAGUCCACGCCGUAAACGUUGGGCGCUAGAUGUAGGGACCUUUCCACGGUUUCUGUGUCGUAGCUAACGCAUUAAGCGCCCCGCCUGGGGAGUACGGCCGCAAGGCUAAAACUCAAAGGAAUUGACGGGGGCCCGCACAAGCGGCGGAGCAUGCGGAUUAAUUCGAUGCAACGCGAAGAACCUUACCAAGGCUUGACAUACACCGGAAACGGCCAGAGAUGGUUGCCCCCUUGUGGUCGGUGUACAGGUGGUGCAUGGUUGUCGUCAGCUCGUGUCGUGAGAUGUUGGGUUAAGUCCCGCAACGAGCGCAACCCUCGUUCUAUGUUGCCAGCGCGUUAUGGCGGGGACUCAUAGGAGACUGCCGGGGUCAACUCGGAGGAAGGUGGGGAUGACGUCAAAUCAUCAUGCCCCUUAUGUCUUGGGCUUCACGCAUGCUACAAUGGCCGGUACAAAGGGCUGCGAUACCGUAAGGUGGAGCGAAUCCCAAAAAGCCGGUCUCAGUUCGGAUUGAGGUCUGCAACUCGACCUCAUGAAGUCGGAGUCGCUAGUAAUCGCAGAUCAGCAACGCUGCGGUGAAUACGUUCCCGGGCCUUGUACACACCGCCCGUCAAGUCAUGAAAGUCG